GCGGUGUUGGAGAGAGACGCGUUAUCGGAUUUCAAGGCCGGGUGCUUGAGAACCUUCGAGAAUCGGAGAUUCGAUAAGGUGAAGGUUGUGAGGGAGGUAAUGAGUCAGAUGUUGGAGGCUUGGAAGCAGAUUCCAGAUGUCUCCGGCGACGUUUCGCCGCCGCCUCACUCACAGGCUUCUUCAAAAGAGAAUGCGAGCGACGGACGCUAUCCGCCGGGGUCGAGAAACUCCGGUGCCGUUGGUUCCGAAGCUCUUCAUUUGAGGAAGA